AACGAACCCUUCGGGGUUAGUGGCGCACGGGUGCGUAACGCGUGGGAACCUGCCUUUAGGUUCGGAAUAACAGUUAGAAAUGACUGCUAAUACCGGAUAAUGUCUUCGGACCAAAGAUUUAUCGCCUUUAGAUGGGCCCGCGUUAGAUUAGAUAGUUGGUGGGGUAAUGGCCUACCAAGUCGACGAUCUAUAGCUGGUCUGAGAGGAUGAUCAGCCACACUGGGACUGAGACACGGCCCAGACUCCUACGGGAGGCAGCAGUGGGGAAUAUUGGACAAUGGGCGAAAGCCUGAUCCAGCAAUGCCGCGUGAGUGAUGAAGGCCUUAGGGUUGUAAAGCUCUUUUACCAGGGAUGAUAAUGACAGUACCUGGAGAAUAAGCUCCGGCUAACUCCGUGCCAGCAGCCGCGGUAAUACGGAGGGAGCUAGCGUUGUUCGGAAUUACUGGGCGUAAAGCGCGCGUAGGCGGCUUUUUAAGUCAGAGGUGAAAUCCCAGGGCUCAACCCUGGAACUGCCUUUGAAACUGGAAAGCUAGAAUAUUGGAGAGGUAAGUGGAAUUCCGAGUGUAGAGGUGAAAUUCGUAGAUAUUCGGAAGAACACCAGUGGCGAAGGCGACUUACUGGACAAUUAUUGACGCUGAGGUG
rnacentral:rRNA from 1 species